GAAAAAAUUUACCUUCCUGUUUCAAAAUUUCUAUCUGGAGGCCGAACCACCUCCACUUGGUGUCAUUUUUUGUCCAAGUGUAUGAAUAAAACGGAUGGACUUUUAUCUUUGACUGUUAAAAAAGCAAGAUAUUCUAUACAAAUACGCAGCUAAAAGAGCUUGAGACACUCAAAGAAGAUGAUGAACUUUACAAAACACGUGUUCUUCGCCUUGUUGCUACUGAUUCUUGUGGUGGACACGUGUCAAGCUGGUAAGCGGAAGCGGCUAUGUAGACUGAAGAAGAAGAAAGGCGAAUGUGUUGAUAUCAUACCGAGGAAAACAUUGAGGAAAUACAAGCACUGUCCAGGCUCCGAUGCGGCCAAAUUGGGACGAUGUGCCAAACUUUACGGUACUUGUACAAUGUUCAAGACUGCAAAGGGCAGAAACAUUUGUGCAUGCGAAUCCGGAAGUAGAUUAUUUCGAGAUCGACCACGAAAUACACGAUACUGACAAACAAAAACAUUCACCACCCGCAGUUUACGCUUGUGAUAUAUCUACCGCCAGGCAGCCAACUUCAGGAAUUUUCUUUUAAGAUUUGAAAACAUUUAGUACAGAAAUCUAUAUAAAAAAAGACAUCGGCUGGAAACUAAUAUUUUUACAGCAAGUAGAUGUUGUUACAUGAUGUAAAACUGCGAAAAUAUGAUACAAAAUGUAGCAAGACUAUAACAAAAUUAUGCAAUACUAUCCAAAUACUGAUUUUCAAAUUUAACAUGGUAUAAUGUUUUAAGCAGAUGCAAUGCAAAAGACCUUUCAAUUGUUAUGAGAACAAUAAAUUGAAUGAAAAGGUG
rnacentral:lncRNA from 1 species